rnacentral:other from 1 species
AAAGCACUGGAAUGUGCGAGCAUACUCAAUUUUUUGACCGACUAUAUUUGUAUUGCAUAGGGGUUCAAGAGACAUUCGAUAGCGUUAAGACUCCGAAUCGAGUAGGAGCAGCUGAUUUGAAGCGAGAACACCCACCUGGCUUCGAGCGGGUUCAAUACUAGAGUAUGCACACGGCAUUCAAUCAGUGUUUUU